rnacentral:rRNA from 1 species
GCCAGACUCCUACGGGAGGCAGCAGUGGGGAAUAUUGCACAAUGGGGGGAACCCUGAUGCAGCGACGCCGCGUGGGUGAAGGAGCACCUCGGUGCGUAAAGCCCUCUCGGCAGGGAAGAAACGGACGGUACCUGACUAAGAAGCCCCGGCUAACUACGUGCCAGCAGCCGCGGUAAUACGUAGGGGGCAAGCGUUAUCCGGAUUUACUGGGUGUAAAGGGAGCGUAGACGGCGAUACAAGUCUGAAGUGAAAGCCCGGGGCUCAACCCCGGGACUGCUUUGGAAACUGUGCGGCUGGAGUGCGGGAGGGGCAGGCGGAAUUCCUGGUGUAGCGGUGAAAUGCGUAGAUAUCAGGAGGAACACCGGCGGCGAAGGCGGCCUGCUGGACCGCGACUGACGUUGAGGCUCGAAAGCGUGGGGAGCAAACAGGAUUAGAUACCCCCGUAA